rnacentral:rRNA from 1 species
CAUAUCAAUAAGCGGAGGAAAAGAAACCAACAGGGAUUGCCCUAGUAACGGCGAGUGAAGCGGCAACAGCUCAAAUUUGAAAUCUGGCUCUCGGGCCCGAGUUGUAAUUUGUAGAGGAUACUUUUGAUGCGGUGCCUUCCGAGUUCCCUGGAACGGGACGCCAUAGAGGGUGAGAGCCCCGUCUGGUUGGAUGCCAAAUCUCUGUAAAGUUCCUUCGACGAGUCGAGUAGUUUGGGAAUGCUGCUCUAAAUGGGAGGUAUAUGUCUUCUAAAGCUAAAUACCGGCCAGAGACCGAUAGCGCACAAGUAGAGUGAUCGAAAGAUGAAAAGCACUUUGAAAAGAGAGUUAAAAAGUACGUGAAAUUGUUGAAAGGGAAGCGUUUAUGACCAGACUUGGGCUUGGUUAAUCAUCUGGGGUUCUCCCCAGUGCACUUUUCCAGUCCAGGCCAGCAUCAGUUUUCGCCGGGGGAUAAAGACUUCGGGAAUGUGGCUCUCUUCGGGGAGUGUUAUAGCCCGUUGUGUAAUACCCUGGCGGGGACUGAGGUUCGCGCAUCUGCAAGGAUGCUGGCGUAAUGGUCAUCAACGACCCGUCUUGAAACACGGACCAAGGAGUCGUCUUCGUAUGCGAGUGUUCGGGUGUCAAACCCCUACGCGUAAUGAAAGUGAACGCAGGUGAGAGCUUCGGCGCAUCAUCGACCGAUCCUGAUGUUCUCGGAUGGAUUUGAGUAAGAGCAUACGGGGCCGGACCCGAAAGAAGGUGAACUAUGCCUGUAUAGGGUGAAGCCAGAGGAAACUCUGGUGGAGGCUCGCAGCGGUUCUGACGUGCAAAUCGAUCGUCAAAUAUGGGCAUGGGGGCGAAAGACUAAUCGAC